GACGAACGCUGGCGGCGUGCUUAACACAUGCAAGUCGAACGAUGAAGCUGGAGCUUGCUCUGGCGGAUUAGUGGCGAACGGGUGAGUAACACGUGAGAAAUCUGCCCUUGACUCUGGGAUAACUGCGGGAAACUGUAGCUAAUACCGGAUACUUUCCCUGGUGGGCAUCCACUGGGGAAGAAAGAAUUUCGGUCAAGGAUGAUCUCGCGGCCUAUCAGCUUGUUGGUGAGGUAAUGGCUCACCAAGGCGACGACGGGUAGCCGGCCUGAGAGGGGGACCGGCCACACUGUGGCUGAGACACGGGCCAGACUCCUACGGGAGGCAGCAGUGGGGAAUAUUGCACAAUGGGCGCAAGCCUGAUGCAGCAACGCCGCGUGAGGGAUGAAGGCCUUCGGGUUGUAAACCUCUUUUAGCAGGGAAGAAGCGAAAGUGACGGUACCUGCAGAAAAAGCACCGGCUAACUACGUGCCAGCCGCCGCAGUAA
rnacentral:rRNA from 1 species